AACGGGGCUUAAAGCAAACUAGAGAUUUUAUCGUCUCUCUUGGAUCAGGCGGAUCAUGAGACAAAAGUCACUGCCCUCCUAUGGGCUUUUCAGCCUGCCGAGCUAGACGUGCUAAAGCACCAGACUGGGUACUCGAUACAGUUUUUCCAAUGAAAAAAAUACCAGACUUGUUGCUGAAGACCCUGUGGGAUUGCAGACAGAAUAUGGGCCAAUACUCCUGGAGAUGGAACCUAGGAUCUUGAAUAUGCCAGGCAAACACUGUACCACUGAGCCACACCUCCAGUCCAGUGACUUAUUUCCAAAACCUAAGUCAUCAUGAGCAUCUCCCUGCACAUCAGACAGUACAAAGCCCGUGAGUCACCAGUGGAAGCCACGGAUGACGGUCUCUCUGCGAGAUGGUGGCGUUUUAAGGCAAGUGCUCUACACCGAGUCACGCCUCCAGCUCUUAAAUAAGAACACUGAGAGAUAUAUGAACUUUUAUCACUGUAUUUUAUUAUUAUGCACCAGGGACUCACAUUUGCUAGGUAAACCUUCUACCAUAGAACUCUAUGCCCUGCCCUCUUAUGACGUCUUGAGUUGAACUCUUUCGAAUGUCGAUGUUUUAGAGCAAGGGAGGGGGUCACCCAUGCCCCACUUGGCCUUCUUCAGCUCUUACACCAAGAAGCCAUGCCGUGCUGUGCUGCAGAGUGCGGUUUCCAGGAAAUCACUUCCAAACACAAGCACAGGAGCCCUUGUGGCUGUCUAGCACCUACAACUGCUGACCGCAGCAUAAGUGAGUGCAGAGGUGACUCACACCAAAGACAAGUGAAACCCAUGAGCUUGGAAAAGAGAGCAUUUUCCUGGUAGGCAGUUAUCAAACGAUCCGAAUGUAAAGUGGUCACUCGGCACUGCAGCAGGGCUCCUUCACAAACACAAAGCUUUAGUGAGGCUCUGCAAGCAUAGCAGUGAGGAGGCAGAACAGACCUCGAGGCAUGGUGGCCGUGACACAGUACCCAAGUCCCUGAUUUCUGUUAGCGAAGUCGCAGGGUCUGCCGACGCUACUGUAGGUCUGUUCCCUAUCAUCGCAAGGAACGAACGCUGGGGUUUGGUUAACGUUUAAUGAAAAUAGAGAUACUGAUUUUUUCCUGUCAGCUUCAGAGACCCCUAAAGUCUAUCCACAGAUGCCUGCAAUGUCUCAAGACCCCCCCUUAUCAUUUCACUUAGCCUUUAAAAAAUUAAAUUAUAAUUUCAAAAAUAACAAAGAUGUUAAGGAAAUUUUUAUUUUCAUUUUAAGUGUAGGGGUGUUUUUCCUGCAUCCAUGUCUGGUAUCAUGUGUACGGCACCUAUGGAGGCCAAACAGGCGUGUUAGAUCCCCUGGGACUGGAGUUACAAAUGGUUGUGAGCCGUCAUGUUGGAGCUGGGACUUUAGUCUGCGUCCCUAGAAGCUCUUAGUCAUUGAGUCA
ensembl:lncRNA